rnacentral:misc_RNA from 1 species
CGGAGGAUCAUUAAAGAAUUACCGGCGAGGGUUGUAGCUGGCCUUUCGGGGCACGUGCACGCCCGAGCCUUUAAUCCACAUACACCUGUGAACCCAAUGUAAGGGCCCCGUAAAAGGGUCCCCUACGUCUCCAUAGACGCAUGUUUAAACAGAAUGUAAACGCAUGUCCUCGCCUUAAAAAGCGUCGAUAAAUUUUAUACAACUUUCAACAACGGAUCUCUUGGCUCUCGCAUCGAUGAAGAACGCAGCGAAAUGCGAUAAGUAAUGUGAAUUGCAGAUUUUCAGUGAAUCAUCGAAUCUUUGAACGCACCUUGCGCUCCUUGGUAUUCCGAGGAGCAUGCCUGUUUGAGUGUCAUUAAACCUUCAACCCCGAUUGAAUUUUUU